CCUACGGGGUGCAGCAGUAGGGAAUAUUGCUCAAUGGGGGAAACCCUGAAGCAGCAACGCCGCGUGGAGGAUGAAGGUUUUCGGAUUGUAAACUCCUUUUGUUAGAGAAGACAAUGACGGUAUCUAACGAAUAAGCACCGGCUAACUCCGUGCCAGCAUCCGCGGUAAUACGGAGGGUGCAGGCGUUACUCGGAAUCACUGGGCGUAAAGGGCGCGUAGGCGGGAUAGCAAGUCAGAUGUGAAAUCCUAUGGCUUAACCAUAGAACUGCAUUUGAAACUGUAAUUCUAGCGUAUGGGAGAGGUAGGUGGAAUUCUGGGUGUAGGGGUAAAAUCCGUAGAGAUCAAGAGGAAUACUCAUUGCGAAGGCGACCUGCUAGAACAUAACUGACGCUGAUGCGCGAAAGCGUGGGGAGCAAACAGGAUUAGAUACCCCAGUAGUC
rnacentral:rRNA from 1 species